GUAUAGGGUUAUGGACCGUACCAUUACAUUAGGACUUCUCCUUAGUAUCUGGGUCAUUCAGGUGGGUGUCUAGGGUAUAGGGUUAUGGACCGUACCAUUACAUUAGGACUUCUCCUUAGUAUCUGGGUCAUUCAGGUGGGUGUCUAGGGUAUAGGGUCAUGGACCGUACCAUUACAUUAGGACUUCUCCUUAGUAUCUGGGUCAUUCAGGUGGGUGUCUAGGGUAUAGGGUUGUGGACCGUACCAUUACAUUAGGACUUCUCCUUAGUAUCUGGGUCAUUCAGGUGGGUGUCUAGGGUAUAGGGUCAUGGACCGUACCAUUACAUUAGGACUUCUCCUUAGUAUCUGGGUCAUUCAGGUGGGUGUCUAGGGUAUAGGGUUGUGGACCGUACCAUUACAUUAGGACUUCUCCUUAGUGUCUG